rnacentral:tRNA from 1 species
AUAAAGUUAGUUAACUUAUAACAUGAAUUUGUCAGAUUCAAAUUGCUGUCAACAGCACUUUUUU